rnacentral:misc_RNA from 1 species
UCCUGGUUAACCCAGGCAGUCUCAUUAGAGUGCCCAACUUAAUGCUGGCAACUAAUGAUAGGGGUUGCGCUCGUUGCGAGACUUAACCCAACAUUUCACAACACGAGCUGACGACAGCCAUGCAGCGCCUGUCUCAGGAUUCUCCGAAGAGCACCCCUCCCUUUCAGGAAGGUUUCCUGGAUUUCAAGCCUAGGUAAGGUUUUGCGCGUUGCUUCGAAUUAAACCACAUAAUCCACCGCUUGUGCGGGCCCCCGUCAAUUCCUUUGAGUUUUAGUCUUGCGACCGUACUCCCCAGGCGGAGCACUUAAUGCGUUAGCUACGUCACGGAGAGGGUUAAAGCCCCCCAUAACUAGUGCUCAUCGUUUACGGCGUGGACUAC